GACGAACGCUGGCGGCGUGCCUAAUACAUGCAAGUCGAACGAACCGCGACUAGGUGCUUGCACUUGGUUAAGGUGAGUGGCGAACGGGUGAGUAACACGUGGGUAACCUACCUCAUAGUGGGGGAUAACAGUCGGAAACGACUGCUAAUACCGCAUAGGACAUAGGAUCACAUGAUCCAGUGAGGAAAGGUGGCGCAAGCUAUCGCUAAGAGAUGGACCCGCGGUGCAUUAGCUAGUUGGUAGGGUAAAGGCCUACCAAGGCGAUGAUGCAUAGCCGACCUGAGAGGGUGAUCGGCCACAUUGGGACUGAGACACGGCCCAAACUCCUACGGGAGGCAGCAGUGGGGAAUCUUCCGCAAUGGACGCAAGUCUGACGGAGCAACGCCGCGUGAGUGAAGAAGGUCUUCGGAUCGUAAAGCUCUGUUGUUAGAGAAGAACAGCGCAUAGAGUAACUGUUAUGCGUGUGACGGUAUCUAACCAGAAAGCCACGGCUAACUACGUG
rnacentral:rRNA from 1 species